CCGCACGGGGAACUCCAGGUCGAGCGCGGAGUCCGCGGCAGGGGUGCCCGGAGGAGCCGGCUCGCCGCCCGCAGGCCGGGGGCGGUCUCGGGAGGCUGAGGGCGCGUUGGAGCACAGAGUACCUCGCGGACUGCGUGUGCACCACGGGCGCGGGACCUCGGGCAGCCGCCUAGAGAUGCGCAGUCGGGCUGCAGGACACUUAGUAGGACGGGAAAUGGCUCCUACCCAGAAGGUGAGAUGGAAUCUUCGCGCUGUGACCCUUUCUCCUGGAAGGACCUACAUCUGUGAAGACCAUUUGAGACUUGACCUCCACCUGAGUGCAGACAAGAUGCCAUUUUGUUCGGAAGUACACGCAUUGCCCCCAGCCAACCCUACCAUGUUUGAUGGGGGAUUGGUUACAGCCGGAGCAUAUGGGCAUUUUAACCCAAUUUUAUUAUAGUCGACCAAAAUUAGUUCGCCUCUGCCAAAAUUAACCCCCUGCAGACAUAGCAAAGCGCUCCACUAAGCAGGGGUUUCAGGCUGGGUUGAAGAUAGAUGCAGCUGGUUAAAGGAGUGAAAGUUUUCAGCUGUCCCCACACCCCCCCAAAAAAGUUGUCCAGCUCAUAUUUCCAUAAUAUCAGAGAAAUGAAUCUUUUGAAACCUACGUUUUGUCUAAUUUGUCAGUGACUUUUUAGUUAGUGAAAUGUUGGCGGAAUUCAGCUUCCCUUAAGCCCUCAGCUCUCAGCUGUGAUGGCAAUUGCCGCGAGCCUUUGAUCAGUGCUCACAUGUGAUGUAAUAAAAACUACCAUUCAUGGAGAGCUCUGUGCUAAGCGCUUUACAUGGAUUGUCUGACUGAGUCCUCACAAUAACUGGGAGCUAUUACUUCUCCAUUUUACACAUGAGGAAGUUGAGGCUAGAAGGAUUUACUAAUUUGUCCUCAGACCACAAAGAGAUGGUUUUACAUCCCUAACUAGCUGCAUAGAAAGCUGGGAGCUGAACCAGCAUGCCAUACUGCCACCUACCUACAGCAGCGCUGGCAGAAGUUCUUCAGCUCAGCCAGCAGACCAGCCGGCAUCUGCCUUGUGCCCGGCGCUGAGCCCGCUCCAGCUGGGAAUGCCCAGAUCCUGGUCUAAUUGAGAAGCUUGUAGCAGGGGAACUUUGAACCUGGCUGCCUGGGUAAACUUUUUAAAUGAGCAAUAAGCCGGUAAGUGCUUCACACAGGUUAUCCUAAUCUGACAAGCACGUACCUAGUUUAUAGUUAAUGUCCACAGAUGCAAAACUCACGUGCUUUGGGGUUGGAGAAGCUGCUCUUGCCCUCUUCAGGUAGAAAAAGAAAUGACUUUUUCCGUCUAAACUUCCCAUGGACAAUGAAGAAGAAAGAUUUUUCCAAAACCACAAAACAAUGUCUUCUAUUUCACUGGCACAUAAUUUAUCUGUGUCUAACUUAACCCCGUUAAAUUGAGGCUGAAUUUUAAAAUUGUAAUCUCAAUUUCUACCGUUUGUGAUGAAUCUCAAUCUCGCGUUGCCCCUUCUUAUUUUAUUUAUAAAUAGAAACUGUGGCUCUGUAUUUCUAUUUCUAGAAAA